rnacentral:piRNA from 1 species
UGGAAAAAGGCACAUAGGUAUGAACGAUGU